CCACGCUUUCGUUCCCAUGCAUGUUGAACUGGGCUUGCUACUUAGGACUAACAUUUCAGUAUUUAUUGGCACUUAGAAGAAGUUAAAGUGGGAACAAUUAUGAUGGAAGAUAAUUCAACUGGCAAUCAAGUUCUUGAAGACGCUGGAAAUCAAAUCAGAGAAGCUUGUGAGGUAUUAGAACGAGAAGCAACAAGGCUUCGCCACGAGCAGAAAGCCAUCGACGCCAUGUCGAAAAAAAUAGAGCACGUUCAUCUCUCGUCGACUGUUAACCUCAAUGUUGGCGGCCGCCGUUUUACGACAAGUCUUCAAACAUUGACAAAAGAUUCAGACUCGAUGUUAGCUGCCAUGUUCUCUGGGAAGUUCGAGGUUAAACCAUCAGAAGACGGAGCUUUCUUUAUCGACCGAGAUGGGAAACAUUUCCGGUUCAUACUCAAUUAUCUUCGUACAGGAAAAUUAACUUUGCCGGAUGGAGCGACAUUUCGAAAGGAACUUGCGGAAGAAGCUGAGUUCUACCAGAUCCAAGGGAUAUUGGAUGAGUUAGUGCCUAAAACGCCGAUGAAUUUCGAAGAAUCAGUAAUUCUGACGGAUGAAGAGCACCGUAAUGUGUUGAGAGGUUGGUUGCCUCCACAAGAAGGCAAGUGGCAGCUUCUGAUGCGAGCUUCUCGAGAUAGCUUUGCAGCCCAAACCUUCCACUCCAAAUGUGACAAUAAAGGGCCCACUGUCACCAUUGUGAAGAGUGGAAGCAACAUUUUUGGAGGAUUCACUGAAAAGUCGUGGAACAGUUUCAGCGAAUGGGUAAGAUGCUCACAAGCAUUCCUGUUCAGCAUAGUCAACCCUCAUGGACUGGGUCCAACUAAAAUGCCGCUCUUUCAGGAACACGAGUACUCCAUCUACUGUGAACCAAGCUAUGGACCUACUUUUGGUGGAGGGCCUGACUUACAUAUAUCAGGAAAUGCAAAUAACAAUACAUCAAGUUAUACCUACCUCGGCUGCAGUUAUCAGUGUCCCACAGGACAGAAUGCUUACACAUUCCAGGCGGGAGUAAAAAAUUUUAUUGUGACAGAUUACGAAGUGUUUGAACUUCACAGAUGACAGACCAAAUAUUCUUUCCCACGUCAGAGACCACAAGUUGAAAACUGUUAAAGAGUGCCGUGUCCUUGGGAGCACGCAUUGAUUAUGGCCCAAUGAAAAUGAAUUCUUAAUGAAAAUGUAAGGUUUAAUUACAAGGACAAGAUAUCCGGAGUAUAUAGUUCAUUUUACUUCAUUUCUGUGAUUGUGUUUUUCAAUUGAUCGGACAGUAUAGUUUUAAAAUAGACUCCAAAUGAUCACCAUUCUUAUUUUCGUUUAUUUUGAACUAUGGCUGUACGUAUCUAAUGUAACUUUCUCUUUUUUAGAACUGAACCGCAGACUUAGACUCGCCAACUCCAGGUGCAUGUUGGCCUGGAAACUGGAAGUGACAUGCAUCCCUUUUGAUAUAGAAAUUUAGAAAUUAGUGACUGUUUGUUUGUUAGUCAUUUUGUAUUAGUUAAGGCAUAAGGUCUGAAAUAAUUAUUUCUCGAUAGCCCCUUUUAGAUCUUAGCUUUAAAAAAAUCUAUUCAGUCAUCCCUCGCGUGAAAUACAUUAACAAGUCUUACAACCUGACUGCUGUCGAUGGGAACUGCAAGGUUUAUUUUACAUGCAUCAUUUUGUUGCAAGGUUUAUUUUACAUGCAUCAUUUUGUUGCAAGGUUUAUUUUACAUGCAUCAUUUUGUUGCAAGGUUUAUUUUACAUGCAUCAUUUUGUUGCAAGGUUUAUUUUACAUGCAUCAUUUUGUUGCAAGGUUUAUUUUACAUGCAUCAUUUUGUUGCAAGGUUUAUUUUACAUGCAUCAUUUUGUUGCAAGGUUUAUUUUACAUGCAUCAUUUUGUUGCAAGGUUUAUUUUACAUGCAUCAUUUUGUUGCAAGGUUUAUUUUACAUGCAUCAUUUUGUUGCAAGGUUUAUUUUACAUGCAUCAUUUUGUUGCAAGGUUUAUUUUACAUGCAUCAUUUUGUUGCAAGGUUUAUUUUACAUGCAUCAUUUUGUUGCAAGGUUUAUUUUACAUGCAUCAUUUUGUUGCAAGGUUUAUUUUACAUGCAUCAUUUUGUUGCAAGGUUUAUUUUACAUGCAUCAUUUUGUUGCAAGGUUUAUUUUACAUGCAUCAUUU
rnacentral:misc_RNA from 1 species